rnacentral:lncRNA from 1 species
CUCCAGCUGCCACUUAGAAGUGUAAACAGGAGCCAGUAACAGGAGAAACUGGUGUCUGGAAUCUGAGCGAAAGUGGUCCGAAAGUCAAGGACUAGCCCGGCCAAGGAGAGACCACAGAGGCUUGGGACCAUGUACCUGCAUACUAAGGUUUCUGAGGCCCUACUAUGUGUACAGCACAGUGGUGGACUCUUGAGGGACACGAAGAUGACUAAGACACAGUCGCAGCCUUUCAGCAGCUUCUAAUCCAUUAGGGGAUAUGAGGCAAGUGUACCGCGACCACCACACCAGGACUCAGGUGCAGAUUGCACACCUGAAGGGAAGUGAGGUUGGAGCUGCAAGAGGUGUCACUGUCGGUGAGCAAAGCUAGAAGAGUUUGCCACUUGACAGAAAGAGAAUUUUAGGGUGCCCUGGACUCUUGCAUUUUU